AUCGUUUUAGUAGAAACGUCCCUUAAGGAUCGAUAAUUGUGACAGUAUUAUUCCAUUAUAUCAAUUGUGACGUACGUCAAAUAAAAGGGACGUUUGUUUUAUUAUAAAGGACUGGAAAAAUAAAUUGUUUUUUAAAUAUGGAAUCAGAGGAAGGGGAAACAUAUCCGAAACAAGGAACAACAAUACGUAGUGAAAAGAAUGCAGCUAUCGACUACGAUGAAGACAGACUACAUGAGAUGACAGCGUCAUAUUCGGAAAUAUCAUUCGAUUCACAAUCAUCUCCACCCGUUUCGGAGUUAAGAUCGCUGAUCGAUUCACCAGAUAUUGAUGGAACAAAAUUUUUAGAUGGUAGCCUAGAGAAAAUGAACGGAAUUGGUGGUAGACCAGACCAGCUAAAUUUAAGGAAUAGAGAAUCUAGUCCAAUAGAGGACGACGAUAUAGAUCCCCCAAGUUAUCACAAAGCCAUGGGAUAUUUGCAACUUGAGGGGACAGUAAUGCAAGAUGGUGAUAUGGUACUGUUUGUUGCGGAAGAUUUAGAAAACAAAAUUAAACUGUCAAGUCCUGUAACAAAAAAGGGAGAAACUCCAUCUUUUCCGGGUUCUCGCAGUUCUACUCCUUGUUUGUACAGGCAAGCCUUAACGCCUCAGGUGCCUCUUCUUGAUCAUAAUGUGUUAAAUGAAUUAGAGAUGGAAGCGAGAAAAGUGGCCACCUCUGUUGAUGCAUUAACAGAAAAUUUGGCAGCCAUUUUGCAUAGUUUACUUUUAGGCAUCUGCACUCACCGUAGGCUGUUUAGAAACAUAUAGGGAUGCUGUUUGUAAAACGUGCGAUGCAGUGGAUCACAAUAUUAAAUCGAUGUAUCAGUUAAUGGCAAAAUGCGAAGAAUUAUCGAAAUCAAUGGGACCUGUAUAUAAGCUAGCAGAACAAAUUAAAGAGAUGAAAAGGAUGUUGGAGCUAUUUGAGAGUGCAAUGAAUCUGUAAUUUAUAAAGGAAAAAGAUUUUAAGCUUUUACUCUAAUAUGUUUAUGCGAUUAGAGCUCUUGUCUUGUUAUAGAUCAUUUUGGCAGUUGUCUCAAUUUUGAAAUUGUUUAGUUUGAAAAACAUAUAUUUGCUGAAAUUCAACAUUUGUUUUCUUUACACAAAUAUUAUUACGUUGAAUAUAUCGUCAUAAAUGGAAUGCAGGAAUAUUUAUUUGAUACAAAUAUAAGGCUAGACAAAUAUGUUUAUUUAAUUAUGAUUUUGAGCGACAGAGGCGUCUUUGAUAACCUCCAUUAUCUACAAUUGAUACUUUAGUAACUAUGAGAAUCAACAACAUGGUCCUGACUGUCUGCCAAAUUUCUUGUGAUUUUCAAAUUAUCUUGCAUCUCAAUUUAACCUUGAUCAAAUGCCGAGGAUUUCGAAUGACACGAUUUCAUCGACCUUUUAUGAAUAUUCAUUUCUUUGGAUAAGUGGUUUUAGAGAAAAUUACUUCUGGGAAGUGAAUGAUGUGAAUGUUUCCUAACAAUCUUUUCACUCGAUACACUUGUCGAAAAAUAAGAAAAUAAAUUCCCUUGUAUCAUAAUCGUAAAAGAUAUAUAAUUCUUAUUUUGAAGAGAAAUACUGACCUUCAACAAUAAUGUUUUUUCAUAAUCUUGCAUGUAUCAUAAAAAUAUUUAUUGCAACAGAUUUUAUUAUCCUAAUGUACAUAAUUUAAUUAAAUGUUAGCAAUGUUAAUCAACCCUU